rnacentral:misc_RNA from 1 species
GGAAGGAUCAUUAACACGAUUCAUUUCUCUCUAUACACCUUGUGCUCACACGUGAUUUGUCUUUUAACAUUUACUUCAUAUCUAAGAAAGAAACACUCUGGACUCUUGUCCUGAGGGUUUUCUCACUUAAAUCAUGAACAACUGCUAACAUUGGAUGUCUUGGUUCUCGCAACGAUGAAGAACGCAGCGAAAUGCGAUAAGUAAUGUGAAUUGUAGAAUUCAGUGAAUCAUCAAAUCUUUGAACGCAAAUGGCACUCCUAGGUACUCCUGGGAGUAUGCCUGUUUGAGAAUCAUUCCAUAACCUCACUUCCCUAAUUCAUUUUAGGGCUAGUGGUUAAUGAGCGUCAUCCAAGCAAUUGGCUGUCGCUUUAAGUACAUCACAGCUUAGAAACCAUCUAGGCCAGAGAAAUAGGUGAGGUCCUUGUGGCCAAACACAUAUUUCUCAAUUGCUGUCUAGAUAGCUUCGGCUUCAGUCUUUCUAAGAAAAUCACACAUGAUCUCAAAUCAGGCAAGGCUACCCGCUGAAUUGAAGCAUCUCACUAAGCGGAGGAAAAGAAACUAACUAGGAUUCCCCUAGUAACGGCGAGUGAAGCGGGAAAAGCUCAACCUUCAAAUCGGAGGGGUUUCCUCUUCGAGUUGUGGUCUAGAGAGGCGUUUUCGAGGAGAGUCCCAGGUAUAAGUCCCUUCGAACAGGGCGUCAUAGAGGGUGACAACCCCGUACAUGAUCUGGGUACUUUUCUCAUACGAUACGCUUUCGAAGAGUCGAGUUGUUUGGGAAUGCAGCUCUAAACGGGUGGUAAAUUUCAUCUAAAGCUAAAUAUAGGCGAGAGACCGAUAGCGAACAAGUACCGCGAGGGAAAGGUGAAAAGAACUUUGAAAAGAGAGUUAAAAGGGCCUGAAAUUGUUAGCAGGGAAACGAUUAAAACUGGGCAUGUUCCUUGGGAUAGGGUUGGGACAGUAUUGGCUCCUUUCUGUUGGCGAUCGCAAGACGCUGGCGGAUUGUAGUUCAAUACUUCCUGGUCUAUUUUCUCAGGGUUCUCGCCAACAUCAGUUCGGGUUUCAGGUGACGGCUGCUGGGAAGGUAGGUGUGGGCAACCACACUGUUAUAGCUCAGUAGUUCUACUGUUACCUUGACUGAGGGAAUCUUCAGUGCGCGCUUAGCUUGAGGUGCUGUGCCUGUGGGGUCUUGGUUCUGAGGACAGCCUAGCUGUGCUCUCGCCCUGGCCUUCCAUGUGUGGCCACUUUUCAUACGCGUGCUCCAGAUGUUGGCACAACGGUUUUAACCGACCCGUCUUGAAACACGGACCAAGGAGUCUAACAUAUAUGCGAGUAUUUGGGUGCCAAACCCAAGUGCGCAAUGAAAGUAAAUAUGAUGCGAGCCUUUGCUCUGCGGAGGUGCAGCAUCGACCGAUCUGGAGGUUUUCUGAAAGAUUUGAGUAAGAGCAUAUCUGUUGGGACCCGAAAGAUGGUGAACUAUGCCUGAAUAGGAUGAAGCCAGAGGAAACUCUGGUGGAAGUCCGCAGCGUUUCUGACGUGCAAAUCGAUCGUCAAAUUUGGGUAUAGAGGCGAAAGACUAAUCGAACCAUCUAGUAGCUGGUUCCCUC